CAGGACUUUUUUAGAGACAUUUUUGUGCCCAAAAGUUCGGGUCCCCAUUGACUUCAAUUGGGCUCGGGGUCAAGUUCGAGCCCAAACCCGCACUUUUUUUCAAAGUUCGGCCGAACCCACCAGACCCGAACAUCCAGGGGUCUGCUCAACUCUAGAAGUAAUUUUUUUUGUUUUUUUAACAUACAUUGUACUUUAGACAUGAAUGAAC